GCUCUUUCUGAACAAAGUGAGUUCCUGGCAUUUUUGAAGUCUCAUGAAUGGGUCAAGGUCAGCUGUGGAGGAUCCUUCAGCGUUCCAUACAUGCAUUUCAUGAAGAGACAGAMUAGUACAGGCUGGAAAUCCUUCCGACAGGGCCAGAUGGGAACUUCAGACCACAGCAGCACCUCGUGCAGGGUAACAUAGCAGAAGCAUAAAUCCCUACCUUCUCAUAAGUUGUAUGUUUUAAGAAUUCUGGUUAAGAUUAAUAGUAUUUUGAAACGCUGAUAAAGAAUUUUGUAGUUUGAUAGCUGAUUUUAAAAGCUGCCUGCUACACUAUGGAAGAAGGUAGCCAAGUUCUUUAACAGAUUGUACUUUCUUUUCUUUAGGUAAUUUACUGACUUGAAUAAAUUCAAUUUAAU
rnacentral:lncRNA from 1 species